UAGCAGCCCUGCAACCUGUCAUGUAUAAGGAGUACAGGACAUGGUGUCAGAAGUAAAAUAACCAAACUGGCAGUGGAGGAGAACAGAAACAAAAGGAAAACAAGAACAAAGAUUACAAACAGAGGCAGGAAGGGAAGCAACCACGGUUCUGGAAUCAGUCUCAUCAGCCUGCAAUCUUGGAUGCCCCCUGAGAACUUCCGUUUUGACAAACCUUAGACCAGACAGACUAAGCAGUGCUUUGCAAGAUUUUACGUUGCUACUUAACUCUUCCAGGGAACUGGAAGCAUCCAGAUAUUGUCUUUAGUUUAUGCUAUAGAUUACAGGUGGAACAUAUCUUUAAACCCUUUGCCUUUACUGAUGACAGUCAGAGCGAUGACUGUGAAAGAGUUCUAGCUCUGUUUGAUGCACACUUUAUACCUCAGAGAAAUAUGGUUUAUGAAAGGGCAUGUUUUCACCAGAGAAUUCAAGAAGUAGGGGAAUCUGUUGUAUUUUUUAUUAGAACUUUGCAUGCUUUGGCAGAAAACUGUGAUUGGGGGACUGUAAAACAUGAAAAUAUUAGCAAUAGACCAAAUAUUGGACUUACAGACAAAAGCCUCUCACAACAGCAACAAUCAUUUGCGUAGGGUCUCUCUGGAGCUAGCUUUCUAACUAACUCUAUUUUUAAUACUGGAAAUUUCUGAUUUAACCCUACACACAGUUAGCUAGAAAACAAAGCACAGUGAACUAGUGAAGCACAGGAACUUAAAAAAACCGAAACCAGCUUAGAAGCUGUAAAGAGACACAAUGUGAUUACUAAACGAAUUUAUCAUAAAACCCUUAAGGCAGUGAGCAAAAAGUGCCAGGCUAACUAUAAAGCCAUUCAGACUAAAUGCAUAAGAUGUGGAAAAUUUCAUAGCCCAGGAGAUGUGUGUCUAGCUGAAGGCUCAUGAUGUCACAAGUGCAUACAAUAUGAACAUUUUGCAACCAUUUGCCAGACUAAAGCAAUCAGUGAAAUGACUACUACAGACUUAUGAUGACAAAAAGCUCGCCUGAAGAGUGAAACUGAAUAUUCAUGGAAAGACUAUUAACUGUAAAAUUAACUUAGGACCAGACAUGACCAUUAUAUCAGAAGGGAUAUAUAAUUAAUUUAUCCCUUCCCAGAGCGGAAAUCACCUGAUACAGCCCUGACUACCUGUGGAGGUAUUCUGAACUGCAUGGGCCAGUUCACAGCACAAAUAAUUUACAAAAACAAAACUGUUGCAUUCAGAGUGUAUCUGAUCAAAGACCAACAACCUUCUCGACCACAGCAUGGCAGCCCAUGAUGGACCAAGUGACAAAAGUAGAAGAACUUGAUUUGGUGAUAUUGGACUUUUUAAAGGAGAUCCAGGACAAAUAACCUUAAGAGACAAUCCUGAACUGUACAAUGUACAUGCACUUUAUAGGAUUCCUAUCACAUUGCUUCAUAAAGUGGCGGCUGAAUUAAAUAGAAUGGAACAGACUAGUAUAAUUGAGGAAAUAUCUGAGCCAACAGCAUGGUGUGCCCCAAAUGGUACUGGUUAUGAAGAAAAAUUGAAAAAUAUAAAUGUGUGGAUCUUAAAAGACUUAAUGAAGCAGUUGGGAGAGAAAAAUAUAUCCUCCCAACACUGGAUGACUUCCUCCCCAGUGUGAUAGGAGCUACAGUAUUUUCCCAAGCUGGGUGCCUUUUAUAAAUUCUGGUAAAUUCCUUUAUCCAAAGAGAGUGCUAAACUAACUAUAUUUAUCACAUGCUUUGGGAGAGUUUGCUUUUGAAGAUUAGCUUUUGGGAUUACCAGUGCACCUGAAGUUUUCCAAAGAAUGAUAGCAGAACUGUUACUAAACACAAAUGGAGUUGCAGUUUUCAUAGACAAUAUUUUGAUAUGUGGGUCAUUGAUGAAAGGCACAACAAAACCUUCAAUUAAGUUAUAAGCUUAAUCAGUCAAUCUGGGCUGAAGUUAAACAAGGGAAAGUGUGUUUUCUACCUACACCAAAUCAAGUUUUUGGGACAGACAGUAAAGAAAGAUUAAAUCAGUUCCAGCCUUAAGAAAGUAAAAGCAAUUCGAGAAUUGAAUGCACCACUGAAUAUACCAGAACUGAGACACAUACAAGUUACCUUGGUUGAUACCCACAAGAACUUUCUACACUAACAAAAACACUUAAUGAACUGUUAAAGUCCAACACAUCUUGGCAGUGGGGGCCAAAUCAAGAAAAUGCCUUCAAAAAGGUAAAAAUAAAAAUCUCAGCAUUCCAGUUUCUCAAGUACAAACCCACAAUGAUCAGUGUGGAUGCAAGCAGCUAUGGCCUAGUUGUUGUAUUGUUGCAACAACAUGGAUCUCAAUGCAAACCAGCUGCAUUCUGCUCUCUCAUACUCACAGAAGCAGUAAAACAAUAUGCACAGAUUAAAAAGGAGUGUCUGGGAAACAUAUGGGCAUGUGAGAACUUUUACAGAUAUCUGUGUGGAUUGAAUUCUUUUACACUGAUAACAGACCAUAAACCACUUGUAACCCAUAUCAGUGGAAAAAGACCUGGAUCAAGCACUGCUGAGAUGUUAUCUUUUGGUAAGGUUAAUGCAAUUUAACCAAGUUUGUAAAUACGUUCCUCGGAAAAAUCUGGUAGUAGCUGACACACUGUCAGAGAGAUCAGCAUUGCACUCAACUACCUGUGAGCUCAAAGAUGAUGUAAAGGUGUACGUGGAUGCUGUGGACACAUACAGGCCAGUGUCAGAAAAGAGACUACACCAGCUACAAAAAGCAACCUUGAUAGAUACACAACUUCAAGAAGUUGUGAGUUACAUUAGGGCAGCUAGCUCAAGAAUCCAAAGGACACUAAGGAGGCAACAAAAGACAAUGUGGCCAAUUAAGUGAAGAAAAACCUAUGUGGCCGAUUAAGCGAGACAAGUGGACUAAUAAAGGUGACUGCAUCAUCAUUCCAAAUGCAGUGAAACAAGAAAUCCUAAAUCUCAUCCAUGAAGGAGAUAGAGGAUUAACUAAAGGCCAUGAACAAGGAAGUAGUCACGGUGGUGGCCAGGCAUCAGCAAGAACAUAAAGAAUAAAGUGUCUGCAUAUGAACAUUACAGAACUAACAAAUCAACACAACACAAGGAACCUUUAACAACCUCUACCAGACAGACCUUGGAAGAAACCAGCUGCAGAUUUAUGUGAAAGUAGAGGACAUCAUUACCUGGUCAUAGUGGACUAUUUUUCCAGCUCUAGAUUCUAUAACAUUUUUGUUUGCUAUCAGAAGCCUUGUAUUGGAAACCAAUGUUCUUAUCCAUCCCAGAAAAGGAUUUUGCAUCUAAUGAGCAGUGAGAAGCAGAAUUCCUAUUGAGAAUAUGCUAUUUUAAGAAUGCCUUACUGAUCUUGAAGGAUGGUGAGGACGAUGCUAUUCAUGAAUCUACUGGGAUGAAAGGAGACAGCCUCUACUCUUGCAAUGCCACUGCAAAAAUCCAAAGUGUGAGGAAAUGACAAUUGAGGUGAGAUAUUUAAAGAGCUCAGCUCCCAUUUAUGCACCUAAAGGGAAGCACCCAGAUAUGGAAAAAUGCUCUGCGUGCAGUAGCACCCACUGAGAACAAUGCUGAUCUCUUCUGAACAUCUGUCUUUAACGCUACACCUACAUAGGGAUAGAAGACCUGCAGCAUAGCCGUGACUGGCCUGAGUCAACGGAAUGAAGCUCAUGGAGAUAAGUGUGCGAGGCUAAAAGUUGCUGUGUAGAGGUUUGGGCUCAGACUGGAGCCUGAGCUCUGGGACCUGCACCUAUGAAUGUCUACAGAGCAGUUUUUCAGCCCUGGAACUCUGUAAGAUGGAAUCAGCUGACCCAGGUCACCCACAGGUUUUUUUUCUCUGUGUAGAUGUACCCGUAGUCAAAUCCAUGGUCUAAAGUCCAUUUCAGUCAUACUCUCAUUAGCUUCAGUCGCCUUUGCGUAAGGCCUUAAAAGCUUCAAGAUGAAAGCAGUGCUUGUCCAAUGCUGAAGAAAUAGCUGUGCUCUUCAAAUUCUAAUUACUCUACAACUCAAGCAGUUUUAUAAAUAUUACUUUUUAAUAUAAAAAUAGCUUAAAAUACUGAAUUAUUGAGAUCUGAUGGACUAAGCUUUGUAGUCAACUGUCUUUAUGAUAAUAGGACCCUCCCUUACUUUUCCCAAACUGGAACAAUUUCCAGCAGCAGGAGCUAGCAGUUUUAGCUUGCAUAGAUACACAAUACAAACAGGCACUUUCAGGUCAUCUAUAGUUGGAUAUUCGAUAUUUAAAAAUACUGUCGCUUUAUAAGAAUGCACUUGAGAUGAUCAGUUAUUGCAGACAAAAGCUACAGGGUUCCAUUGAUACAAAAGGAUUUGUUUUAUAGUAGAAGCCAAUGAGACAGGUAGUACCUGCCCAUGUAGCUGAACCAACAUCAGGGUUUAUCUUUGAACAGAGACUGUGUACACAAAUGGAGGGAGCAGGCAGAGAAAGUAUAUGUAAUAUGAAGACUGGAUGCAGGGCAGUGAAAAGAGAAGCCAGAAAAAGUGUUCUUUAAGGGCCAAAUGAUAUUAACUUUUAAGCAACCUCCCGUUAUUCAGUGGAGUAUGAAAAAUUCAGGUGUGUAAUUUUAAAAUAGAACUUAGAGAAAAGGUAGUGGUUUCUUCCAUGCAAAAGUCAAACUGUGUCAUCUUUGCCUAGAAAAAGCAAUUGUAUGGCAACACAGAGCAAUUCCAACAACGGUACUGCAUCAUCAAAUGGUACCAGUUUUUCAAAUGAGGGAAGAAAGGAAAAGUACUUCUUUGUACAUGCCUGUUCACUAUGCCCACAAGUUUGUCAGAACACAAUUUUCACUGUGCACAUGCAAGUUCCAUACUGUUGCAUCCAUGCCUUUGCAAAUAAGCUUACCUGGAAAAUAACUGCUUCAGCGUAGAAGUUGCACUAAUGACAGGAAAUCCGCACUACAUUUUCAAGUACGAAACAGAACUUUGUAUACGUCAUAAUCCUAAAAAUUUAUUUACAAUUUUAGAACAUUAAAUAGAUUACAUAUAUAUGAAUGUGGAUGUAUGUGUUUUGAUUCAGUGAAUAUAAAUAAGCUUUAUACAUUCUGUAAACAAAUUUAAUUAAAAGUCUUUAUAAACUACAUCUUAUGUUAUAUUUACAUACAUACCUGGUCUAAAAAUAUGAGUUAAUUGAAUGCAAAGUUGUAACAAACUAUUCCAACCAUUUGAAAACUGUUUAAGUAUGUUUCUUUGAAUAGCAUAUGCAAAAGUUGAAACUAAGUAUAUUGACUUUAAAAGGUGAAAUUCUGCAGUUGUCUAUAAAAAACUUGCUAUGUUAUAUGCAUAUAUACACUGAGUCUCUCUCUCUCUCUCUCACACCCACCCCACCCCACCCCCCCAUUGCAGGAGGGAACUGUUAAAACCACAACAACUAUAGUUUUAAGAGAAUAUCAGCACAAAAGAAACUAAGAUUUUUAAAGAAAUGUGAUCAUAGUCCCAUAUGAAAAGGAAGCUAGGUGUGUAGAGUUAUUUUAAACUGUCUCAAUCAGUACCCAAGUUCAUAUUGUCAUCUCAGAUCCAUAAA